UGUUUCUUCUUUUUGUGGCAUGGGGGAUAGUCAAGUUAAAAAAUGAGAAAGCAUGCUAUACAAGUUCUAAAAGCCAUAUCACUAGGCUGUUCCCUUUGCCAAUUUCCUCCUCUUUAAUCACCUUUAAAAUUCCUAUUCAUUCUUCAAGUCUUAGCUCAAGGGUUACCCUUUUUUAUAUCAUUCUUUUCCUCUGACUCUUCCCAGGGAGUAUUCCUUGCCCUCUCUCCUUGAUCCGUCCUGAGUGUUCUGUAUAUAUAGUGUCUAGGCAUACCAUUAAGUAGUUUAUCCUGCUGUACAGAUGCUAGAGAGUGCUGAUAGUUGAGUCACACCUGACUCAGGCUAGCUAUAUCCAAAGACCUAUAGGGGAAGCCAUAAUCUCAAGUAGUGCCUGUGGUGAUUAACUUUGACUAUAAGAAAGAUCUUUAUUGACAAAUAUAGCAGCUGUGGAGGGCCUAUGUAAGAAAGUCAUCUUGGGUUAUCUACUCCUGUUUCUCCCCUGGGAUGCCUCGCUCGGUGCCUAUUUAGAGAAGUCCAUCCUCCACUCACAUGCCAAUUUAUUGCAGCACUAGAGUUGGGAUUCAGAAUUUAGGUCAGGGUAUGCCUAUGUGGCAUCAGAACCCCACCUUUUCUUCUCCUUUCCUAGGGCCUGUGAUGUUUUGUCUUUGGACUUUUAAACACGAAGAGCAGUUGCCUUAGUGUCUUCAGUCUGGAUGUUUCCCUUUCUUAAACUUCAUCUGGAAAGGGAUGGCUGCAUUUCAUUUUCUGGACAAUAAGGUUGUUUGCCUACACUCCUGUGAAGAGAUAUUCUCAUUGCCUUCUAACACACAUGGCUUCAGGUCACCACUCAUGGUUAGGGAUCAAGUUAUUUUAGGUGGAUGCUUCCGGAUAACGGAUUUAUUAUAGCACCUCGCAAGCAUUGCUAAAGUCAUGGUUGAGGAAACAGUUUCAUUAUACCUCCGUCGUAAUUAGAGUAUGUAUUCCUUUUCUUUUUUCUUAAUCUUCUGCUGCCUUUAAAAUAAAACUGCAAUAUGAGACAUUAUGUGUCAUUGUUGUUUUAAUCUAGGGAUGAAAGUUGGUAAUUCUUUCAAGUCUGUUUAAAUGAAGAGCAGCAGAUAGGAUAGGUCAAGUUCCUGUCAUUCACUAUUCUCCAAUUGUAUCCCUUAAAGGUCAGAGAUUCUAACCUUUAUAUAGGCAAUCAAUACCUAUGGCUGCAUUGAUUUGUUG
rnacentral:lncRNA from 1 species